rnacentral:rRNA from 1 species
ACUAAUUCUAGCUCUAUAAACCCGCUAUCUCAACUAAUUAUAUAUAUAUAAACUAAACCAUUUAUACUGAACAAAAGUAUUGGAGAAAGAAAUUAUCAAUAGAAGCUAUAGAACCAGUACCGCAAGGGAAAGAUGAAAGAUUAAUUAAAAGUAAUAAUAAGCAAAGAUCAAACCUUGUACCUUUUGCAUAAUGAAUUAACUAGAAAAAUUCUAACUAAAUGAAUUAAAGCUAGAGACCCCGAAACCAAACGAGCUACCUAAAAACAAUUUUAAGAAUCAACCCUUCUAUGUAGCAAAAUAGUGGGAAGAUUUUUAGGUAGAGGUGAAAAGCCUAACGAGCUUGGUGAUAGCUGGUUACCCAAAAAAUGAAUUUCAGUUCAGCUUUAAACUUACUACAAAGAACAUAAAAUCCAACCGUAAGCUUAAAUCAUAGCCAAAAGAGGGACAGCUCUUUAGGAAAGGAAAAAACCUUAUGUAGAGAAUAAAUACUCACUAACUUAACCAUUGUAGGCUUAGAAGCAGCCAUCAAUAAAGAAAGCGUUCAAGCUCAACAUUAAAAACAAUUAAUUUAAUUAAUUAAAAUAAAUUCCUACAUUAAAAAUUGGGUUAAUCUAUAAACUUAUAGAUGAGAUACUGUUAAUAUGAGUAACAAGAAUAACAAUUCUCCAAGCAUAGGUGUAUAACAACUCGGAUAACCAUUGUUAGUUAUAGAAUCAUAGAUAAUAAACCUCUAAUUAAAUAUCUAAAUUUCAACCGUUAAUCCAACACAGGUAUGCUUUAAGGAAAGAUUAAAAGGAGUAAAAGGAACUCGGCAAAUACGAAUCCCGCCUGUUUACCAAAAACAUCACCUCUAGCAUUAUAAGUAUUAGAGGCACUGCCUGCCCAGUGACUAAAGUUAAACGGCCGCGGUAUCCUGACCGUGCAAAGGUAGCAUAAUCACUUGUUCCUUAAUUAGGGACUAGCAUGAAUGGCUAAACGAGGGUUCAACUGUCUCUUACCCCCAAUCAGUGAAAUUGACCUUCCAGUGAAGAGGCUGGAAUAAUAAAAUAAGACGAGAAGACCCUAUGGAGCUUAAAUUAACUAGCUUAAUUAUUGUAAUAUAACCCAAUGGACCAAACUACAAAAAAAUAAGCCAGAAAUUUUGGUUGGGGUGACCUCGGAGAACAAAAAAUCCUCCGAAUGAUUUUAGCAUAGACUAACAAGUCAAAGCAACAUCAUAAAUCUUAUUGACCCAAAUCUAUUUUGAUCAACGGACCAAGUUACCCUAGGGAUAACAGCGCAAUCCUAUUUAAGAGUCCAUAUCGACAAUUAGGGUUUACGACCUCGAUGUUGGAUCAGGACAUCCCAAUGGUGCAGAAGCUAUUAAUGGUUCGUUUGUUCAACGAUUAAAGUCCUACGUGAUCUGAGUUCAGACCGGAGCAAUCCAGGUCGGUUUCUAUCUAUUAACAAUUUUUCCCAGUACGAAAGGACAAGAAAAAUAGAGCCUCCUUAACAAAAGUGCUCUUAACCUAAUUUAUGAAUAAAAUCUUAAUAUAAUAGUUAUGUUCAACUACACUUCACCUAGAAAAGGUU